rnacentral:sRNA from 1 species
GCUGGGCGUGGUGGUGCACGCCUGUAAUCUCAGCAGCUUGGGAGGCUGAGACAGGAGGAUCUCAAGUUCAAACCCAGCCGAGUUCAAUCCCUGCCUCCU